GACGAACGCUGGCGGCGUGCUUAACACAUGCAAGUCGAACGAUGAAGCCGGAGCUUGCUCUGGUGAAUUAGUGGCGAACGGGUGAGUAACACGUGAGUAACCUGCCCUUGACUCUGGGAUAACUGCUAGAAAUGGUAGCUAAUACCGGAUACGACCCUCGGAGGCAUCUCCAGGGGGUGGAAAGAAUUUCGGUCAAGGAUGGACUCGCGGCCUAUCAGCUAGUUGGUGAGGUAACGGCUCACCAAGGCGACGACGGGUAGCCGGCCUGAGAGGGGGACCGGCCACACUGGGACUGAGACACGGCCCAGACGCCUGCGGGAGGCAGCAGUGGGGAAUAUUGCACAAUGGGCGCAAGCCUGAUGCAGCAACGCCGCGUGAGGGAUGACGGCCUUCGGGUUGUAAACCUCUUUUAGUAGGGAAGAAGCGAAAGUGACGGUACCUGCAGAAAAAGCACCGGCUAACUACGUGCCAGCAGCCGCGGUAA
rnacentral:rRNA from 1 species